rnacentral:rRNA from 1 species
UACGUAGGGUGCAAGCGUUAAUCGGAAUUACUGGGCGUAAAGCGUGCGCAGGCGGUUCUAUAAGACAGAUGUGAAAUCCCCGGGCUCAACCUGGGAACUGCAUUUGUGACUGUAGAGCUGGAGUACGGCAGAGGGGGAUGGAAUUCCGCGUGUAGCAGUGAAAUGCGUAGAUAUCAGGAAGAACACCCGUGGCGAAGGCGGCUCUCUGGAACGCAACUGACGCUGAGACGCGAAAGCGUGGGGAGCAAACAGG